CAGACGGUUGACUUCACAAGACCGGGGUCAACCACGACUACCAGCAUGGACGACGGCGCUUAAUGGGCGAAAAGGGCACGGGAUAUCUGAAGAAGUCAUUUUCUACAUCCGCAAGGGUACAACUGAUGGAAAUUUCAUCAUCCACGUGGGUGGAUUUGGACUUCUUGGUCUUCAGAUCCUCCAAAGACUCGUAGGUGUUGCCGUGGACAACAGCGGCCUCUCCUGGGAUCAUCUCGUAGGUGUCGUCCGGUGGCCUGGUGGUCCUCUGGGGGACAUCGGCGUACAUACCUUCACCUGGACCUCCUCCGGGCCCCUCGGAUGCCUGGUACAGCGGGUUGCACAUCUCCAGAUCGGCGCUCGACUGCUCGGGUCUGGGCUUGGGAGCAGAGUGGAGGGAGAAGGUGAGGCAGGUGACCCUCUUGGGCGAGAAGCUGCCCAGCCGGUUGGAGUACUCUUCAUCCUCCUCCUCCUCCUGCAUGUGGUCCAGCCGGGGCAGAGACCGGCUCCGGAUCUCCACCUGAGUCGGCUCAGAAGAGGUGAGUCCGGCCAGGUCGAGGUCACCUGGGAAGUCGGCAUUGGUGGAGGUUGAGGAGUCCGACGUCAACUUCCUGUUUCCUCUGAGCCUCUCAGGUUGGCUGUAGUCGGGUUCAGUCGGAUGUGAAGUCGUGUCGGGCAAAGAUCCACUCAGAGAGAAACCCAGAGGAAGACCUCGUUUAGGAACUGGAGGAACCUGAAGAACAAAAUCAGAAAAAUGCACGAGAACAUUUCUGGAGAGAUUCUGAGUGUGCUGAUCACGAGUCCCUGGAACCAGUCGGGCAAGUUUCCGUUCUGCAGAAUGUUUGGUGCCUGAGUCUCAGUGAACCACCUCAGAACCAGAUCCUUCAGACCUCCAGGACCCAGAUCCUUCAGACCUCCAGAACCCAGAUCCUUCAGACCUCCAGAACCCAGAUCCUUCAGACCUCCAGAGCUGGUGUCCAUCCUGGGAGCUGAACAGGUGAACAGGAUGUGUCCAGGUGAGGCUGCAGAGGAGGAGGGGCUCAUUUGACUAUUCCUGACUGCUGGUAUUGUUCCAGUCCAGCCAGCUAGUCUGCUCUUCCCCCCAGUGAGCCGACACUUUCAUUUUCCUAUCUCAGUUCCUGGUCCCAGAUUGAACUUAAACAGGAAGCAUUCACUUUGUGUUGCGUUUAAACUGUGGUGGGACAUUUUAUUAAAUAAACAUUUUAUUUUGUGGAAAAACUUCACAGCAAAUACUUCUAAACAUACAUCUGUGAGGUCUAAGUGAAAAUUAAAAAGUGUCAGUAGCAUUAAAAACCAACAAAUAAUAAAAUAAAUAUAAUAACUGUUUAUUCUGCAGAGAGUAAAUGUGGCGCCCCCUACAGAGGAGUCUACUCACCACAAUCACAAGAACAGAAUGAAAAUAGCAACUAAAUGUUUCAACUUGUUUUAUUUGGGGUUUUAAACCUUUCAGUUCAUCAACAGAUCAGCACUGAUGAAUAUUUAAACCAGGAACAUAUUCGUCACAAAAAAAACACUAAAUGAAGGGUUUAAUUAAAAAUCACUCAUUAACUAUUUAAAUAUAAAAACUACAUUUUCCUGCACCACCACAGCUUCUGCGCGCGACACGACAGGUGUCAUAGCUUCAGGCGCGAGCUGAACAGGUGGUCGAGCGAGGAGACGAGAGCGCGCACUACUGCCAAAUCUCAGUUAUAAAACGCCAAAUUGAAUCAUUUACGCAUAUUUCUGCAAAAUUACAAAUUAUUUCAGCACUUUAUUGAUAAUUCUCUAAUUUAUAUAGUUCAGGUAACAAUUCGGCUUACAAUAAACACAUAUAAAGUAAUUUUAUGUAACAUUUUUUCCGACUUUCCACAUCUACACAGUCGUCGUGUCUAUGAACAGCGCUGUCUUAAAUUGGUAGUUUUGUGAAUGGAGUUCUGAAUAGGGCUGAGGGGCGACGUGUUUAUUCCUCGUGGUCUGUGGGACAAAACUCUGCAGACAGACUCGGAGCUGGAGGACAUGAAGCAUUUUAAACCGGAUAACAGAUGAAAACUGAGGAUUUAUUCUAACUGCAAAUUUAAAAGUGAAACCUGCAGAAUGGAUUUAUUCAAGCAGCAGAAAGUGGAGGACUUCUAUGAGAUUGGUGAAGAGCUGGGAAGGUAAAAAUAAUGUCUCAGUGUUUGCAUCCGUUUUAAAUGUCAUUUAAUGAAUAAAAGUGUUUUUUAAUAUGACUCAGCCCUUCAGUACAGAAACCAACUGGUGCUUCACAAUUAUUAAAUUUAAAAUUAUUAUUUUAUCGGCUGAUUUGUUAAUUCUUGUAUUUUAA